rnacentral:tRNA from 1 species
GCCUGGGUGGCUUAGUCAGUUCAGUGUCUGACUUCCGCUCAGGUCAUGAUCUCAUGGUUUGUGAGUUCAAGCCCCACAUCAGGCU